ACACUCAUAGUCUAGUGGUUAGGAUGUCUCUCUUCCAAAGAGACGGCCCGUGUUCGAAUCACGGUGGGUGUA